rnacentral:ncRNA from 1 species
UAAUAUCAGCCGCCGGGUUGAGAAUGUAAAAAGCAUUCGCGUGCACAUCAUCAGGCCUUUGAAGAUGUGUUUGCGGGUGCUUUUUGUUA